rnacentral:rRNA from 1 species
GUGUCAGCCGCCGCGGUAAUACGAAGGGGGCGAGCGUUAUCCGGAAUCACUGGGCGUAAAGCGUGCGUAGGCGGUUUUGUAAGUUAGGAGUGAAAGCCCAGGGCUCAACCUUGGAAUUGCUCUUAAAACUACAAGACUUGAAUCCGGGAGAGGAUAGCGGAAUUUCCAGUGUAGUAGUGAAAUACGUAGAUAUUGGAAGGAACACCAGUGGCGUAAGCGGCUAUCUGGACCGGCAUUGACGCUGAGGCACGAAAGCGUGGGGAUCAAACAGGAUUAGAUACCUCCGUAGUCC